UGUCUCUCACCCUCUGCCAUGUAAGAAUUCUCUUUCACCCUCUGCCGUGAUCGUGAGACCUUCCCCAGCCAUGUGAAACUUUUUCAGCUUUCCUCCACUGUUUUGGGAAACGUCACCUUCUUAUCUUGGAAGAGUAAUCUCAAAAUUGAAGCAUCUUAGAUCCAACAAGAAUUAAAAGGAUGGGAAGUCCUUGCAGCCAUCCAAUAGAGUCAGAAGACUUUGGAUUUUGGAGUCUGUGAGAUGAUGUACUCACAUCCCAACAAAUUGAAAAUGCUGACCAAUCCCAGCACAGCCAACUCGAAUUUGCUCCUUCAUCAAAGUGACCAGCACCUCAUUUCUUCCUCUUUAGAAUUUAUAGAGUCCUAUGGCUAUUGAUAUCUAACAUCCUGGCUUCACUCACAUGGAUGAGCCCCACCUGGAAUGCCUAGAAGACGUGGGACAGCUGGAUCUCUCUCCACACGGUUUUUCAUUGUUGCCUCAGGUUCCAAUAAAAGCAAAAGCUGCAAGGUCUUCUGAGGCAAAGACUUAGAAAUACCACAAUGUUACUUCUGCUGCAUUCUGUUGAUAAAAGAAUCCCACAAUGCCAGCUUCAUUUAAAGGGGUAAAGAUAUAGAUUAUUCACCUUCGAUGGGAGGAACUGCAAAUGAUGUAAUUAGUGAUAAUUUUUAAUAUACUGUAAUGUAUUGACUUAUCUUUAAAAAAUGAAAAAAUAAACCAAAAACUAAAAGCAAAA
rnacentral:lncRNA from 1 species